rnacentral:rRNA from 1 species
UACGGAGGGGGCUAGCGUUGUUCGGAAUUACUGGGCGUAAAGCGCACGUAGGCGGACUGGAAAGUUGGAGGUGAAAUCCCAGGGCUCAACCUUGGAACUGCCUUCAAAACUCCCAGUCUAGAGUUCGAGAGAGGUGAGUGGAAUUCCGAGUGUAGAGGUGAAAUUCGUAGAUAUUCGGAGGAACACCAGUGGCGAAGGCGGCUCACCGGCUCGAUACUGACGCUGAGGUGCGAAAGCGUGGGGAGCAAACAGG